rnacentral:rRNA from 1 species
UACGUAGGGUGCGAGCGUUGUCCGGAUUUAUUGGGCGUAAAGAGCUCGUAGGCGGCUUCGUUAGUCGGGUGUGAAAGCCCCAGGCUUAACCUGGGGAUGCCAUCCGAUACUGCGAUAGCUAGAGUUUGGUAGGGGAUCACGGAAUUCCUGGUGUAGCGGUGAAAUGCGCAGAUAUCAGGAGGAACACCAGUGGCGAAGGCGGUGGUCUGGGCCAAUACUGACGCUGAGGAGCGAAAGCGUGGGGAGCAAACAGG